rnacentral:rRNA from 1 species
GUUCCUUGGAAAAGGACAGCUGAGAGGGUGAGACUCCCGUCCGCCUGGCAGAGUGAGUCAUGUGUCAAAGAGUCGAGUUGUUUGGGAUUGCAGCUCUAAAUGGGUGGUAAAUUCCAUCUAAAGCUAAAUAUUGGUGGGAAACCGAUAGCGUACAAGUACCGUGAGGGAAAGAUGCAAAGAACUUUGAAAAGAGAGUUAAAGAGUACCUGAAAUUGCUGAAACGGAAGCGAAGGAAACCAGUGUUUGUUGGUUCAUACUUCUCUUGCCACUUGUGGCAUGAGCGCUGUGAACCUGCGUGAGUUUGGGUUGGUUGAUCCCUUUGGAAGAGCGCAGUCAGAGUUGAUGUCU